rnacentral:rRNA from 1 species
CCUACGGGUGGCAGCAGUGAGGAAUAUUGGUCAAUGGACGGAAGUCUGAACCAGCCAUGCCGCGUGCGGGAAGAAGGCUCUGUGGGUUGUAAACUGCUUUUGUACAAGAGUAAACCUGAGUACGUGUAUUCCUCUGAAGGUUCUUUACUGAUAAAGCUCGGCUAACUCCGUGCCCACCGCCGGGGUAAUACGGAGGAACCAAGCGUUAUCCGGAUUUAUUGGGUUUAAAGGGGGCGUAGGCGGGUUGAUAAGUUAGGGGUGAAAUGUUCGAGGCUAAAUCGGGACCUGCCGCUAAUACUGUUGAUCUAGAGAGUAGAUGCGGUAGGCGGAAUGCAUGGUGUAGCGGUGAAAUGCUUAGAGAUCACACAGAACACCGAUUGCGAAGGCAGCUUACCAAUCUAUAUCUGACGUUGAGGCACGAAAGCGUGGGGAGCAAACAGGAUUAGAUACCCCUGUAGUC